CAUGCAGUAACAGGUUGGUCCAACACUCUUGUCUCAUCUUGAUCAUCAUAACAAUACUUUCCAUGUUCCUUAUUAAACUCCUUCAUGCUUUAGUCUCUCUCAGUCUCUGAACAUCAACCAAGGCUCUGCUACACAGCAAACAGUGAACCAGAAUGAAACUCAAGUUUACUCCUCUCUUCUCCAUGCUGAUGUUUGUGUCUAUGAAUCAAUCAGAGGCUCUGGAAACACAGAAAGUGGGGAACCAGACCAUGAAUACAGAAAUAUUACAUCUCAUCUGCAUCUUCAAGGGAGACAUGACACUGAGAAGAGCUCUGACUACAAUAACGUGAAUCCUGAAUCUUUUUCAUGUGUCACAUGGAGCCAGUCUCAGAGAACCAGUCAGAUCCCUGCCACAGUCCAGACUGUCAGCCAGGAUGAAAAUCAGCAGCACAUAUACUACUCUCUUCUCCACGGUGAUGCUUGUGUCUAUGAGUCACUCAGAGGUCCUGAAAACACUGGAGAUGUUGGACGGGCCGGUGUCUCCACAAAUGUCAAAUCUCAGACUGAGCUCAGAGAUGUUGGACAGAGGAGAAAACGAGGUGAUCCAGGGAAGAGCUCCGACUACUAGAAUGUGAAUCCAGACUCAUCUACAGGUCCAUAAAGAGAAGUGCAUCAUCAAUGAAACAAGACAAGUCUGGACAACAACAUGAAAAACAACAUUGAUCUGUAAA